AUCCAGCUGACGAGUCCCAAAUAGAACGAAACACGAGCCCUGCAU
rnacentral:hammerhead_ribozyme from 1 species